rnacentral:lncRNA from 1 species
CUACUCAGUGUCCUGUGUGACAACAGCAGGGACCAGAAUGUGGUGGCAAUCGGGAACAGAGAGGCAGCCUUCAAACUUGGGAGGACCCAGCUCGACCAAGGCCUGUGUUCUUAGGAUACUCAUAGCUGUUUCCGUGGUGAUAGAUGCCAAUUUCACCAUGAGCUGGCUCUGAUGUUCUCUGCACCAAACAUGGAAUCAAGCCAGAAUAUAAGUAUUCCUCCAGAACCCCGGCUUACUCAAGAAGAGAGUAGCACGACCCACUGCCAACCCAUGAGAUCUGACGCCACCAUCCUCUGUGCACACCACCGCACAGGCCUUCCUGCCCUCGGCUGUCUCUGGAGCCACAUCUGAUAGAAACAUGUCCUCAACGGGACAUGGUACGUCACCCUGCGGCUCCUGACUCACCUGUGGCUGAUGCAUAUGUGGUACCCAAACAAGAAAAUGCCAUUUGGCCAGACCCUGCCAGCCUGUCCUUGCAACAAGACAAAGACACACUCCCCUCUCCUUCCUAGACUUGACCACAUCCCUCGUGCUCUUACAGGCAAAGAUUUCAUCAGCAACCAAAAUACCACAAGCAUCAGUGUCUGCUGAACCUCUAAAAUGAACACCCACCUCUGAGCUAAAGGACAGUAAAUAAGUUAAUAGAGCCAGAUGCUGCAAAUCCUAUCCCCAAAACGGUAUGUGGGCCCUUCUGGCUAAAGAAAUUGUGGCUCAGCCCGCCUGCAGGGCUGGAUCUGGACAUGAAGACGGAG